GUAGAGCAGAGGACGACGAUCCCAGAAAAUUCAGAGGCCCUGACCAAGACUGCUACCUACAGGGAAGCUGGGCUGAAGAUAGAAGAAACCUGCUCAGAGGAUAGUCUGGAGACAUUUGGAGGAAAAGCAUGCAGCGAAAAGCCCUAUGAGUGGUCUGGUUCCGACAAGAGGUCAGGCUGCUCACUAUGCAGCUGCUAUGAAAAGCACAGAAAUGAAUCCAUGGCCCUCUCACCCAAACAGCUUUGGAAGUUGUGCUAAAGGCCAGAAGCAGCCUGCUCCCGACGGAUCUCACGGUUGUGCCCGGAGGAGUGAGGCGAGCUUCUGAAACGUCUCACAGACAGGAACUCCUGUGAGACUCUGGGCGCACGCCAGUGAGGCAGCUGCUUUUUCGAAUGGCAGCUAUCACAGCGGGGCACUGUUGACAGCACAGAAUCCCACCAUCCCUCCCCUCUCCCUCUCCCCUGCGCCCUCCCUCC